GAGGGCGACCGGCCACACUGGGACUGAGGACACGGCCCAGACUCCUACGGGAGGCAGCAGUGGGGAAUAUUGCACAAUGGGCGAAAGCCUGAUGCAGCGACGCCGCGUGAGGGAUGACGGCCUUCGGGUUGUAAACCUCUUUCAGCAGGGAAGAAGCGAAAGUGACGGUACCUGCAGAAGAAGCGCCGGCUAACUACGUGCCAGCAGCCGCGGUAAUACGUAGGGCGCGAGCGUUGUCCGGAAUUAUUGGGCGUAAAGAGCUCGUAGGCGGCUUGUCGCGUCGGUUGUGAAAGCCCGGGGCUUAACCCCGGGUCUGCAGUCGAUACGGGCAGGCUAGAGUUCGGUAGGGGAGAUCGGAAUUCCUGGUGUAGCGGUGAAAUGCGCAGAUAUCAGGAGGAACACCGGUGGCGAAGGCGGAUCUCUGGGCCGAUACUGACGCUGAGGAGCGAAAGCGUGGGGAGCGAACAGGAUUAGAUACCCUGGUAGUCCACGCCGUAAACGGUGGGCACUAGGUGUGGGCGACAUUCCACGUCGUCCGUGCCGCAGCUAACGCAUUAAGUGCCCC
rnacentral:rRNA from 1 species